AUGAACGCUAGCUACAGGCUUAACACAUGCAAGUCGAGGGGCAGCGGUAUCGAAAGCUUGCUUUCGGUAGCCGGCGACCGGCGCACGGGUGAGUAACGCGUAUCGAACCUGCCUCAUACUCGGGAAUAGCCUUGCGAAAGUAAGAUUAAUGCCCGGUGUUUUCAGAGUCCCGCAUGAGGCUUUGAACAAAGAUUUAUCGGUAUGAGAUGGCGAUGCGUCCCAUUAGCUUGUUGGCGGGGUAACGGCCCACCAAGGCAUCGAUGGGUAGGGGUUCUGAGAGGAAGGUCCCCCACAUUGGAACUGAGACACGGUCCAAACUCCUACGGGAGGCAGCAGUGAGGAAUAUUGGUCAAUGGGCGGAAGCCCGAACCAGCCAAGUAGCGUGCAGGAAGACGGCCCUCCGGGUUGUAAACUGCUUUUAGUUGGGAAUAAAACGGGGCUCGUGAGCCCCCUUGCAUGUACCAUCAGAAAAAGGACCGGCUAAUUCCGUG
rnacentral:rRNA from 1 species